UUCACAUUUCAUUUUGUCCCUCUUUUGACAUCCUUUCUUUAAGGAUUCUAUGUCCCUCAUUUCUUUGAUAUUAGCGUAACACUUAUUCCGCUGCAAGUUGUCCCUUGGCAGAGGUCGCCAUGGCCAGCUGUCCUAGACCAGGGGGGUCAAACUCUCCAGGCCCAGGCCCAGAUCUGGCCCGCAAGGACUGGCCUCCGGUGCCUCUGCCAGCAGAAAUGGAGGCUGGGAGGGAGGGCCGUGUGUGGCCCCCCAAGCUCCAUGUUCACUGGCAGAGGGUUGCAGGAGGCCAUUGCAGCCGAAAACAUCGUAAAGCUCCCCAGUUCCUGCUUCUAAAACUGCCGGCGGUGUGGGGGUCAGUCCCUUCACCUCUCCCCUUUUAUACGUGGAGAUUAGAUUCAGUGGAUUAGAAACCACAUUGUGGGGCUGGGGCUCCUAUUUAGGCCACCUUUGCUUGGUGUUUCCCCUCUGCAACUAUUCCAGGGAGGAUGUGUGAACAGUUGCUUCUCUUUCCAAGGAGUGCAUGGACAGCAGGAAUCCCAAAAUCUUUAGGAGUGCAAGCUUAGAAGCACAACAUCCCUUCCUCCUUUCCCCUUCCCCUUCCCCUAGACGGGUGACAAAAGAACUACUUUCUGGUGUAAACCGUCUCAAAAGCAGCGCUGGCUCAGUCUCUUCCUGUCUGCAAACUCUGCACUGCUGCUGCCGCCGCUGCUGCUGGGGCUGCCCGCCCUGUUCUGGUGGUGCUGCGUCCAAGUGCUUGUGGCUCAAGAGAAAGGAAUUUGAAACUCGGAGCCUUAACGGCAGAGCUGCCGGAGGGGUGGAGAUGGGAAGGCAAAUGUCCCUUUGGGAUGGAGUUUUCCUGUCCCCCACCGUGCUUGUCCUGAGCCACCUCUUUGGGAUCGCUGUGAUCUUGUACUGGACCAGGAGCCGGAGCCGGAGCCAGGAAGCUCCCCCCUCCCAAAAGGUCAGAAGAUGUCAUGAGAGAACAGGAUGACCUCAGAAAUGGGAAGCACCAUUUGGGGCUUGUAAAAUCCAUGGAUGAGAUCAGGAAGCUGCACAUAAAGAAACUUUGCCUGAAAGCAACCUCUUAGAGACUAGAAAGCUGUGCAGUUUAAAACUCUAAUUCUG
rnacentral:lncRNA from 1 species